rnacentral:rRNA from 1 species
GAUGAACGCUGGCGGCGUGCCUAAUACAUGCAAGUCGAGCGAAUGGAUUAAGAGCUUGCUCUUAUGAAGUUAGCGGCGGACGGGUGAGUAACACGUGGGUAACCUGCCCAUAAGACUAGGAUAACUCCGGGAAACCGGGGCUAAUACCGGAUAAUAUUUUUAACUGCAUGGUUCAAAAUUGAGAGGCGGCUUCGGCUGUCACUUAUGGAUGGACCCGGGUCGCAUUAGCUAGUUGGUGAGGUAACGGCUCACCAAGGCAACGAUGCGUAGCCGACCUGAGAGGGUGAUCGGCCACACUGGGACUGAGACACGGCCCAGACUCCUACGGGAGGCAGCAGUAGGGAAUCUUCCGCAAUGGACGAAAGUCUGACGGAGCAACGCCGCGUGAGUGAUGAAGGCUUUCGGGUCGUAAAACUCUGUUGUUAGGGAAGAACAAGUGCUAGUUGAAUAAGCUGGCACCUUGACGGUACCUAACCAGAAAGCCACGGCUAACUACGUGCCAGCCGCCGCAGUAA